GGGCAUGUGAAAUAAUGAAUGAAUCAAAAAAAGGGUUUGGGUACUAAUUCAGGAUGUUCUACUGGAAUGUAAGAGAAGCAUAUAGAGUGGGACCCAGCUUCUCAAAUGCAAGUACAACAAGGGUUCAAGGUCUUUCUCAUUCCCGUCAAGAGUAAUGUCCUAAGUGUCUAGUUCUUUUGUAUGAAUUAGGGAAUUAGCAUUUCCAAUUCUUUUGUAUGACUUAGGGUUAGCAUCCUUAUUUCUUCUACCUAAACCUAGGAUGAAAUGGAUGUUGUUGUAUUUUCUUUAGAUAAUUAUAUGACAGGAACAAUGUUAGUAUUCCUUUAUCUUAAUCUUAGAGACCUUCAAGAUUUUAUGCUCGUAAUGUUAAUGUUAUAAAUCAAGUUUGUUUUGUAAAUUAUAUGUUUGAAAUGAAUCCUUGGAUUUGUAAUAUAUUAUGAUUAAUAAUAAUUGUGGUCGCGACGCGAUA